AGGAAUAUUGGUCAAUGGGCGAGAGCCUGAACCAGCCAAGUAGCGUGCAGGAUGACGGCCCUAUGGGUUGUAAACUGCUUUUAUAAGGGAAUAAAGUGAGAGUCGUGACUCUUUUUGCAUGUACCUUAUGAAUAAGGACCGGCUAAUUCCGUGCCAGCAGCCGCGGUAAUACGGAAGGUCCGGGCGUUAUCCGGAUUUAUUGGGUUUAAAGGGAGCGUAGGCCGGAGAUUAAGCGUGUUGUGAAAUGUAGACGCUCAACGUCUGCACUGCAGCGCGAACUGGUUUCCUUGAGUACGCACAAAGUGGGCGGAAUUCGUGGUGUAGCGGUGAAAUGCUUAGAUAUCACGAAGAACUCCGAUUGCGAAGGCAGCUCACUGGAGCGCAACUGACGCUGAAGCUCGAAAGUGCGGGUAUCGAACAGGAUUAGAUACCCUGGUAGUCCGCACGGUAAACGAUGGAUGCCCGCUGUUGGUCUGAACAGGUCAGCGGCCAAGCGAAAGCAUUAAGCAUCCCACCUGGGGAGUACGCCGGCAACGGUGAAACUCAAAGGAAUUGACGGGGGCCCGCACAAGCGGAGGAACAUGUGGUUUAAUUCGAUGAUACGCGAGGAACCUUACCCGGGCUUGAAUUGCAGAGGAAGGAUUUGGAGACAAUGACGCCCUUCGGGGUCUCUGUGAAGGUGCUGCAUGGUUGUCGUCAGCUCGUGCCGUGAGGUGUCGGCUUAAGUGCCAUAACGAGCGCAACCCCUCUCCUUAGUUGCCAUCAGGUCAAGCUGGGCACUCUGGGGACACUGCCACCGUAAGGUGUGAGGAAGGUGGGGAUGACGUCAAAUCAGCACGGCCCUUACGUCCGGGGCUACACACGUGUUACAAUGGCAGGUACAGAGAGAUGGUGUUCUGCAAAGCGCAUCAAAUCCUUAAAGCCUGUCUCAGUUCGGACUGGGGUCUGCAACCCGACCCCACGAAGCUGGAUUCGCUAGUAAUCGCGCAUCAGCCAUGGCGCGGUGAAUACGUUCCCG
rnacentral:rRNA from 1 species